AGUCGAACGAACUAUUUAUAGUUAGUGGCAAACGGGUAAGUAACGCGUGGGAAUGUACCCAUAGGUGGGGGAUAACUGUUGGAAACGACAGCUAAUACCGCAUAUCUUAGAGAUAAGAAAGGCGCAAGUCGCCUGUGGAGCAGCCCGCGUCAGAUUAGGUAGUUGGUGGGGUAAUGGCCUACCAAGCCUGUGAUCUGUAGCUGGUCUUAGAGGAUGAUCAGCCACACUGGGACUGAGACACGGCCCAGACUCCUACGGGGGGCAGCAGUGGGGAAUAUUGGACAAUGGACGAAAGUCUGAUCCAGCAAUACCGCGUGAGUGAUGAAGGCCUUCGGGUUGUAAAGCUCUUUUGGCAGGGAAGAUGAUGACGGUACCUGCAGAAUAAGCACCGGCUAACUCUGUGCCAGCAGCCGCGGUAAUACAGAGGGUGCUAGCGUUGUUCGGAAUUACUGGGCGUAAAGGGCGCGUAGGCGGUCUAUUAAGUCAAAGGUGAAAUCCCCGAGCUCAACUUGGGAACUGCCUUUGAUACUGGUAGGCUAGAGAUCGGGAGAGGAAAGUGGAAUUCCUAGUGUAGAGGUGAAAUUCUUAGAUAUUAGGAGGAACACCAGAGGCGAAGGCGGCUUUCUGGACCGUUUCUGACGCUGAGGCGCGAAGGCGUGGGCAGCGAAAGGGAUUAGAUACCCCUGUAGUCCAUGCAGUAAACGAUGAUUAUUAGACGUUGGGGCGCUAGCCUCAGUGUUGAAGCUAACGCAUUAAAUAAUCCGCCUGGGGAGUACGGUCGCAAGAUUAAAACUCAAAGGAAUUGACGGGGGCCCGAACAAGCGGUGGAGCAUGUGGUUUAAUUCGACGAAACGCGCAGAACCUUACCAGCCCUUGACAUGGUCGAUAGAUACCUAGAGAUAGGAUUCGCUAGCUUGCUAGUGACACACAGGUGCUGCAUGGCUGUCGUCAGCUCGUGUCGUGAGAU
rnacentral:rRNA from 1 species